ACACAUAAAACGCCAGGGUACUACGAGCUAAGCUUAAAACCCAAAGGAUUUGACGGUGUUUCACCCAACUAGAGGAGCCUGUUCUAUAAUCGAUAGUCCACGAUCUACCUAACCAUUUUUUGCUACGCAGCCUGUAUACCUCCGUCGUAAGUUUACCACUUAAGUGAAUAGAAGUGAGCAAAAGGACUUAGAGCCAAAACGUCAGGUCAAGGUGCAGCUUAUGAAAUGGAAGAAAUGAGCUACAAUUUCUAAUUUAGAACACACGAAUUACUGCAUGAAACAAGGUCAUGAAGGUGGAUUUAGCAGUAAGUAGGGAAUAGAGAGCCCUACUUAAUUUUGGCCCUGAAACG
rnacentral:rRNA from 1 species